rnacentral:lncRNA from 1 species
GUUCUAGCUGGGGAGCUUCGUGGAGCUCAUGGGCAGAGGCCAGGCUCCCUCUUCCUGAGUACCCCAGGCCCUCUUCACCAAGUGACAUCAGGAGUAGGGAUGUCCCAGAGGCCUUGGGUGUGCUGGGGUUACAGACCUGCAUCGCUGACCACGCCCUUUUCUCUGGGUGAUUGUGGGUCUUAAGACCUUCCAGGUGACCCCCCCCUCCCUCAAGCUAGAGGCACAGGGUGGAGGCCCCGAGGGAUGCUUUCAGAUGGCACACAGAAUGGCAGUGGCAGACACUGCCUGGCACUGUCAGAAUGGCUGUGAGGGCUCAGGAAGUGACCGGGUCCUGGCUUGAGAGCGGCUUGCUUCUAAGCUACUUGUUCAUUUCAGCAUCCGAGGCCUUCCUUCCUUCAUUCCUUCUGCUAAGAUGAUCUCACUCUGUGGUCCACGAUGGCCUUGAACAUUCAUGGCGAUCCAGUUCCUUCAGUCUUCGGAGGGCUGGGAUUACAGGCAUAAGCCAUCAUCCUACUCAGCUUUUAGCCCUGCCUCCAGCAUGGGGGGGUAGGUGGUUGGGGUGGGGUUCCCUAUUCAGACUGAUACUACCACCAGAGAGUUCUCUGUGCUCCCAGCUAUCAGGAGAUCAUGCCCACAGGAGGAACUGUUCCAACAGCUUCAACUAUUUGUUCCUCCCACAGUGGCCUUAGGAAACCACUUAAAGCUCAGCACAGUUCUGUCCUUCCAGGAGGACCCAAGGCAGCAGGUAAAAAGGAAACCUCUGGGGUUUGGGCAGCACGCAGAGGGCCAUCUUCCACUGGAGCUUCAUGCAGUGCAGUAGAGACUACCUUUUCUUGAGCUUCAGGCCUGGGGAGACUUCAACUCCCCAGAAUGACUUGGGGAGUGGAUGAAAUCUUGGCCAUU